UACGUAGGGUGCAAGCGUUGUCCGGAAUUAUUGGGCGUAAAGAGCUCGUAGGCGGUUCGUCACGUCGGCUGUGAAAUCCCGAGGCUCAACCUCGGGUCUGCAGUCGAUACGGGCGGACUUGAGUACUGCAGGGGAGACUGGAAUUCCUGGUGUAGCGGUGAAAUGCGCAGAUAUCAGGAGGAACACCGGUGGCGAAGGCGGGUCUCUGGGCCGAUACUGACGCUGAGGAGCGAAAGCGUGGGGAGCAAACAGG
rnacentral:rRNA from 1 species